AGUGAACGCUGGCGGUAGGCCUAACACAUGCAAGUCGAACGGCAGCACAGUAAGAGCUUGCUCUUACGGGUGGCGAGUGGCGGACGGGUGAGGAAUACAUCGGAAUCUACUUUUUCGUGGGGGAUAACGUAGGGAAACUUACGCUAAUACCGCAUACGACCUACGGGUGAAAGCAGGGGAUCUUCGGACCUUGCGCGAUUGAAUGAGCCGAUGUCGGAUUAGCUAGUUGGCGGGGUAAAGGCCCACCAAGGCGACGAUCCGUAGCUGGUCUGAGAGGAUGAUCAGCCACACUGGAACUGAGACACGGUCCAGACUCCUACGGGAGGCAGCAGUGGGGAAUAUUGGACAAUGGGCGCAAGCCUGAUCCAGCCCUACCGCGUGGGUGAAGAAGGCCUUCGGGUUGUAAAGCCCUUUUGUUGGGAAAGAAAAGCAGCAGGUUAAUACCCCGCUGUUCUGACGGUACCCAAAGAAUAAGCACCGGCUAACUUCCUG
rnacentral:rRNA from 1 species